rnacentral:rRNA from 1 species
UACGGGGGGGGGCAAGCGUUGUUCGGAAUUACUGGGCUUAAAGGGCGCGUAGGCGGGCUGCCGCGUCCGGGGUGAAAUCCCACGGCUCAACCGUGGAACGGCCCCGGGUACGGGCGGCCUCGAGGGGGGUAGGGGCGUGCGGAACUGUGGGUGGAGCGGUGAAAUGCGUUGAUAUCCACAGGAACUCCGGUGGCGAAGGCGGCACGCUGGACCCCUUCUGACGCUGAGGCGCGAAAGCCAGGGGAGCGAACGGG